UACGGGGGGGGCAAGCGUUGUUCGGAAUUACUGGGCGUAAAGGGCUCGUAGGCGGCCAACUAAGUCAGACGUGAAAUCCCUCGGCUUAACCGGGGAACUGCGUCUGAUACUGGUUGGCUUGAAUCCGGGAGAGGGAUGUGGAAUUCCAGGUGUAGCGGUGAAAUGCGCAGAUAUCAGGAGGAACACCGGUGGCGAAGGCGGGUCUCUGGGCCGAUACUGACGCUGAGGAGCGAAAGCGUGGGGAGCGAACAGG
rnacentral:rRNA from 1 species